CAGUCGCCACGGUAACACGGAAGGUCCGGGCGUUAUCCGGAUUUAUUGGGUUUAAAGGGAGCGUAGGCCGCCCCUUAAGCGUGUUGUGAAACGCGGAUGCUCAACAUCCGACUUGCAGCGCGAACUGGGGGGCUUGAGUGCGCCGAAAGUAGGCGGUAUUCGUGGUGUAGCGGUGAAAUGCUUAGAUAUCACGAAGAACUCCGAUUGCGAAGGCAGCUUACUGUAGCGCAACUGACGCUGAUGCUCGAAAGCGUGGGUAUCGAACAGGAUUAGAUACCCCAGUAGUCCCUGUCUCUUAUAC
rnacentral:rRNA from 1 species